rnacentral:rRNA from 1 species
GAUGAACGCUAGCGGCAGGCUUAACACAUGCAAGUCGAGGGGUAGAGUUAGCUUGCUAACUUGAGACCGGCGCACGGGUGCGUAACGCGUAUGCAAUCUACCUUGUACAGAGGGAUAGCCCAGAGAAAUUUGGAUUAAUACCUCAUAGUAUUAUUGAAUGGCAUCAUUUGAUUAUUAAAGUUCCAACGGUACAAGAUGAGCAUGCGUCCCAUUAGCUAGAUGGUAAGGUAACGGCUUACCAUGGCAACGAUGGGUAGGGGUCCUGAGAGGGGGAUCCCCCACACUGGUACUGAGACACGGACCAGACUCCUACGGGAGGCAGCAGUGAGGAAUAUUGGUCAAUGGGCGCAAGCCUGAACCAGCCAUGCCGCGUGCAGGAAGACGGUCCUAUGGAUUGUAAACUGCUUUUAUACGGGAAGAAACCCUGCUACGUGUAGCAGCUCGACGGUACCGUAAGAAUAAGCAUCGGCUAACUCCGUGCCAGCAGCCGCGGUAA